rnacentral:rRNA from 1 species
UGGUGGAGUGAUUUGUCUGGUUAAUUCCGUUAACGAACGAGACCUCGACCUGCUAAAUAGUUCAGAUAAUCCUUCGGGAUUGUAUGUGACUUCUUAGAGGGACUAUCGGUGUGUAGCCGAUGGAAGUUCGAGGCAAUAACA